AUCUUUUUUUAGUUCAUAAGUAAGAUGAUUAAGUAUUCGAAUCACUGUGUGACAUAUACUACCCUCAAACUUUGUUAUGAGGUUGGUACAUUAUUCAUUUGACA